rnacentral:rRNA from 1 species
ACUACCGAUUGAAUGGUUUAGUGAGGCCUCCUGACUGGCGCCGAUACCCUGGCAACAGAGCGCCGGAUGCCGGAAAGUUGGUCAAACUUGAUCAUUUAGAGGAAGUAAAAGUCGUAACAAGGUUUCCGUAGGUGAACCUGCGGAAGGAUCAUUACCGAUAUCCGAGAACAACAACCGUUGUUUGCCUUGUGAACCGUACCAAACCUUUGAGGGGUCGGCAGCAGUCGUUAAAAUGGCGAGCGGACGCGCGCUCAUUGCAGCCGCGGCCGCCUCGCCUGCCCCGCCUGUGUUUUUUUCUCUGUUAGCCAUUGCUCGUCUGAUGUUUGCGGCGUCCGCCGACCGGCGGUUCGCCUGUGUGGCAAAAAAGUUAUAAGAGACAACUUUUGACGGUGGAUCUCUUGGCUCACGCAUCGAUGAAGAACGCAGCCAGCUGCGAUAAGUAGUGUGAAUUGCAGAAUUCAGUGAAUCAUCGAAUCUUUGAACGCAAAUGGCGCUCUUGGGUUCUCCCAGGAGCAUGUCUGUCUGAGUGUCGGAUAUCAUCCAGCGCAGGCCCCGUGCUUGCGGCGUUGAGGCGUCACGGCCCCUGUGUGUGGCCGUGUCCCUUGAAAGGCAGAGAGACUCGCUGCGGUUGCCGGGUUUUUCCCUGGGCACACCAGCGGAGGCUAAAAGUUGGGCCAGUCCUUCGCGUGCCCUAGGGUGCCCGCCGCCAAAGAGUCGCAGAGGCGAAAAGCAGGCAUACCUUCUUGACCUCAGAUCAGGCAAGGCUACCCGCUGAAUUUAAGCAUAUUAAUAAGCGGAGGAAAAGAAACUAACAAGGAUUCCCCCAGUAACGGCGAGUGAAGCGGGAAGAGCUCAAAUUUGAAAUCUCCGAUGCUUGCAUCGGCGAGUUGUAGUUGCGAGAAGCACUUUCUAGGCGGAUCGGUGGUGCCUAAGUUGCUUGGAACAGCACGUCACAGAGGGUGACAACCCCGUCUGUGGCGCCGCCGGCCGCCCACGAUGUGCUUUCCAA